rnacentral:rRNA from 1 species
AUACGUAGGGUGCGAGCGUUAUCCGGAUUUAUUGGGCUUAAAGGGAUCGUAGGCGGAUGUUUACGUCAGUUGUGAAAGUUUAAGGCUCAACCUUGAAAUUGCAGUUGAUACGGGACGGCUAGAGUGCGUUAAAUGAGGCCGGAAUUCGUGGUGUAGCGGUGAAAUGCUUAGAUAUCACGAAGAACUCCAAUUGCGAAGGCAGCUCACAGGACUGUAACUGACGCUGAUGCUCGAAAGUGUGGGUAUCAAACAGGAUUAGAUACCCUGGUAGUCCACACAGUAAACGAUGAAUACUCGCUGUUUGCGAUAUACAGUAAGCGGCCAAGCGAAAGCGUUAAGUAUUCCCCCUGGGGAGUACGCCGGCAACGGUGA